UGCGUUUGUAGAUGGAAGGAAGAACUUGUGUGCUUAGACCUGACGCUGGGAGGAGAUGCUGCCACCUAGGUUACUUGUAGGACCCUAUACGGCAACCUCCUUUGCCAGGAACUAUUUAUAAACAUCCUGCAGGAAAAUGGUAGCUGAGACCAAUGAUGCUGACCUCCCUCAAAAGCUGCAUUUCUGAAUUUCUGAAGGCAAACUGUCUGCCUAUAUUGUACAGCAAAAUAAUUUCCUGUAUUAAAACGUUUUUAUUGCUCUAAAUUUCUAGAUUAAACUCUGCUUAGGUAUUGCUAAGAGGGUAGCCAAGUAUAGAAACUUAAAUUUACUGACAGAAAUCUAGAGAAUGCUUAAUUUUUUUUCCAGCAGUGAAGUAGAAGAGACAGGGAUAUCCCAGAAGGUUAUGCAAAACAUCAAGAGAAGAUGAGAGGUACUCUGUGAUGUCGUAAGGAUAAGAAAGAUCAAGGGAUCAGGAAAAUGAAGAUUUUAGCUUCAUUCAUCUUAACGAGGUUAACAGACAUGAUUUUCCCACUCUCCUUCAACACUCACAUAUCAAUUUCAUAUUUGUGGAAAGUUUUCACUUACAACACUCAGUAUAUACCACUUAGAAUUAUGAAAGUAUAUCCUGUAGGGCAGAUCCACAUGCAGAAGAAUGAAACUAGACCCCUAUCUCUCACCAUACACAAACAUCAAAUCAGAUGGAUUAAACACUUCAAUCUAAGACCUCUCACUAUGAAAUGACUAUGAGUAAACAUUGUAGAAUAUUCAUCUGGGAAAAAAUUUCUUGCCCCACAAGCACAGGCAACCAAAGUCAAAAUGGACAAAUGGGAUCACAUCAAGUUAAAAAGUUUCUGCACAGCAAAGGAAACUAUCAGUAAAACAUAGAGGCAACUCACAGAACUGGAAAAAAUAUUUGCAAACUCCUCAACCAACAAGGGGUUAGUAACCAGUGUAUAUAUAAGGAGCUCAAACAACUCUACAGGAAAAAAAAUCUAGCAAUCGAUUAAAAAUGGACAAAGGAUUUGAAUAGACAUUUCUCAAAAGAAGAUAUACGAAUGUCAGAAAAGCAUAUAAAAAUUUGCUCAACAUCACUGAUUGUCAGUGAAAUGUAAAUCAAAACUACAAUGAGAUAUCAUCUGACCCCAGUUAAAAUGGCAUUUAUCCAAAAGACAGGCAAUAAUAACAAAUGUUGACAAGGACGUGGAGAAAAGGGAACGCUUGUACACUGUUGGUAGGAAUGUAAGUUAGUACAACCCCUAUGGAGAACAGUUUGGAGUUUCCUCAAAAAACCAAAAAUAGGGCUACUAUCCAAUUCAGCCAUCCUACUGCUGAGUAUACACCCAAAAGAAAGGAAAUCAGCAUAUCGAAGAGAUAUCUGCACUCCCAUGUUUGUUGCAGUAUUGUUCACAAUAGCCAAGAUUUGGAGCAACCUAAGUGUCCACCAACAGAUACAUGGAUAAAGAAAAUGUGGUACAUAUGUACAGUCAUAAAAAAAGAACUAGAUUUGAUUAUUUGCAAUAACAUGGAUGAAACUGGAGGUCAUUAUUUAAGUGAAAUAAACCAGGCACAGAAAGACAAACAUUGUGUGUUCUCACUCAUUCAUAGGAUUUAAAAAUCAAAACAAUUGAACUCACAGAGACAGAGAAUGGAAGGAUGGUUACCAGAGGCUAGGAAGCAUAGUGGGGGAAUGGGAGGAGGUGAGGAUGUUUAAUGAGUACAAAAAAAUAGAAACAAUGAAUAAGACCUAGUAUUUGAUAGCACAACAGGAGGACUAUGGUCAGUAAUAAUUAAAUUGUACAUUUUAAAACAACUAAAAGAAUAUAAUUGGAUUGUCUGUACACAAAAGAUAAAUGCUUCAGGGGAUGGCUAUCCACCAAUUUUCCACAAUGUGAUUAUUAUGCAUUGCAUGCUUUUACCAAAAUAUCUCAUGUACCCCAUAAACAUAUACAUCUAGUAUGUACCUAAAAAAAUUAAAAAUAUAAAAGAGUAUUUGUAUAAUGGAUAAGUACCAUAGAAAUAUUUGGAAGAGCAAGGAGAAAUUGGAUAUUUUUGUAAUGAUGAAAGUAUGUAUUUCUGUACUUUGCCUGUAUAUUUUUUAAGUAAAAACUGACCACAAGAUGUCACUGUUAACAUAUGUAUGGGAGGGAAAGUUGCCUUGAACAGCAGCUAGGUUUUGUGGGGCCGGUGUGGUUAGAAAUCAUUAUUUUAAAAUCCUUGGCAAUAACUAAACCUCAACAUGUUUCAGUUUUUCAAAACCACUGGAAUGUUUUUAGAGUUUGGGAAUUUUUUUUUAGUUUUGCAAAAU
rnacentral:lncRNA from 1 species